rnacentral:lncRNA from 1 species
CUGUAUACACAAAAACGUUGACGUGUCUACCUUCCAAAUUUAAUGCUCUAAAAUAAAAUCUCUUCCCUCUCUCUCUCUCUCUCUCUCAAGAAGACUCUGUUUCUCUCUCUUCACAAAUUCUCUCUCUAAAUCGCUAGGGUUUCUUUUUCUUUACUUGAAAUCUUCAAGAGCGACCUUCACUGGUAAGUUUCUCCUUUUUAGGUGUAUUUAACCGGUGCAUUUUCUAAUCUUACUCCGGUUGUUUUUAGGUGAUUUGUGUUCAUAUUGGUUUUUGUGAUGAUUUGAUUUGGUGUCUUUAGGUUUAGCAUUUGGUAAUGUUGUUGUUUGAGCAAUGGUUGUUAUUGUUCUCUGCUAUUGCUUACGGUUUGUUUGGUUGCUGAGAAAGGUGAGGGAAAUAAUGGAGAAUAGUAAUAAAUUAUGCUGGAUUUUUGGAAGUGAAGUGAAUUAUAUGUUGUUAUGUGUUGGUUUGAGAAUAAUGGAAAACGUGAGGUAUUAUAUAAAAAUGUCUUAUGUUUCCUGCAUUUUCUCGGUGACAAAACAGAGACAAGAGAUUUGGGGAAUUCAAUAGAUUCAAUUAUUUUUGUUUUUGGAGUUUGGACUUAGCUGAGUGGAGGAAGCAACUUUAUCUUCAUACCAUGUGAUGGAGAGACUCUGAUUUGAGGUCAAUUUCUUUUAUAUUCUUACUGUUUCUUGGAAACCAAACAGAGUAUUUAGGAAAUAAAAGAGUUUGUUGCUUAUUGUUAUUGAGGGAUUGGGUUUAGCUAGCUGUUUUAUUAAAAAAAAUAUUGAGGUACUGACUAUUGAAAUUGGAGAAGUUGUAUUUGAUAUUAC